rnacentral:tRNA from 1 species
GCAGGUAUAGUUUAGUGGUAAAACAAUAGCUUCCCAAGCUGUGGUUGUCGGUUCGAUUCCGAUUACCUGCUCCA